rnacentral:rRNA from 1 species
ACGCUAGCGGGAUGCUUUACACAUGUAAGUCGAACGGCAGCGCGAAGAAAGCUUGCUUUCUUUGGCGGCGAGUGGCGGACGGGUGAGUUAUGCAUCGGGAUGUGCCCAGUAGCGGGGGAUAACUACUCGAGAGAGUGGAUAAUACCGCAUAUUCUCUAAGGAGGAAAGAGGGGGACCUUAGGGCCUCUCACUACUGGAGCAGCCGAGGUCAGAUUAGCUAGUUGGUGGGGUAAAGGCCUACCAAGGCAACGAUCUGUAGCUGGUUUGAGAGGACGAGCCAGCCACACCUGGGACUGAGACACGGCC